rnacentral:rRNA from 1 species
GAUGAAGUUCCUUCGGGGAUGGAUUAGUGGCGAACGGGUGAGGAACACGUGAAGAAUCUGCCCUCCACUUUGGGAUAACACCGGGAAACCGGUGCUAAUACCGAAUAUUGAAAUAUAAGUGGCAUCACUGAAUUUUGAAAGAAUUUCGGUGGAGGAUGACUUCGCGGCCUACCAGCUUGUUGGUGAGGUAAAGGCUCACCAAGGCUACGACGGGUAUCCGGCCUGAGAGGGCGACCGGACACACUGGGACUGAGACACGGCCCAGACUCCUACGGGAGGCAGCAGUGGGGAAUAUUGGGCAAUGGACGAAAGUCUGACCCAGCGACGCCGCGUGAGGGAUGAAGGCCUUCGGGUUGUAAACCUCUUUCAGUAGGGAAGAAGCGAAAGUGACGGUACCUAAAGAAGAAGCACCGGCUAACUAUGUGCCAGCAGCCGCGGUAAUACAUAGGGUGCAAGCGUUGUCCGGAAUUAUUGGGCGUAAAGAGCUCGUAGGUGGUUUGUUGCGUCGGGUGUGAAAUUCAGGGGCUCAACCACUGACCUGCACUCGAUACGUGGCAAGCUAGAGUUUGGUAGGGGAGACUGAGAAUUCCUGGUGUAGCGCUGAAAUGCUCAUAUAUCAG